AGUUCGAUUCUGGCUCAAAUUGAACGCUGGCGGAUGCUUUUACACAUGCAAGUCGAACGGGCAGCACGGACACCAGCCUGGUGGGUAGUGGCGGAACGGUGAGUAAUGUAUCGGAACGUGCCUUUAGUAGCGGGGGAUAACUACGCGGAAAGCGUAGCUAAUACCGCAUACGCGAUCUCAAAAAGCGGGGACCUUCGGGCCUCGCACUAUUAGAGCGGCCGAUAUCGAUUAGCUAUGGUGGGGUAACGGCUCACCAUAGCGACGAUCCGUAGCUGGUUUGAGAGGACGACCAGCCACACUGGGACCGAGACACGGCCCAGACUCCUACGGAGGCAGCAGUGGGGAAUUUUGGACAAUGGGGGAAACCCUGAUCCAGCCAUCCGGCGUGUGCGAUGAAGGCCUUCGGGUUGUAAAGCACUUUUGGCAGGAAGAAACGGCGGGGAUAAUACCCCGUGCAACUGACGGUACCUGCAGAAUAAGCACCGGCUAACUACGCCAGCAGUUUUCGUAAUACGUAGGUGUAAGCGUUAAUCGGAAUUACUGGGCGUAAAGCGUGCGGCAGGCGGUUCGGAAAGAAAGAUGUGAAAUCCCAGAGCUUAACUUUGGAACUGCAUUUUUAACUACCGAGCUAGAGUGUGUCAGAGUAGGGAAUCGCGUAGCAGUGAAAUGCGUAGAUAUGCGGAGGAACACCGACGGGCGAAGGCAGCCUCCUGGGAUAACACUGACGCUCAUGCACGAAAGCGUGGGGAGCAAACAGGAUUAGAUACCCUGGUAGUCCACGCCCUAAACGUAGAUGUCAACUAGCUGUUGGGGCUUUCGGGCCUUGGUAGCGCAGCUAACGCGUGAAGUUGACCGCCUGGGAGUACGGUCGCCAAGAUUAAAACUCAAAGAAUACCUGAUAAUCGCAUGGGGCGGUGAUGGAUGCGUGGAUUAAUUCGAUGCAACGCGAAAACCUUACCUACCCUUGACAUGUCUGGAAUCCCGAAGAGAGAUUUGGGAGUGCUCGCAAGAGAACCGAACACAGGUGCUGCAUGGCUGUCGUCAGCUCGUGUCGAGAUGCUGGUUAAGUCCCGCAACGAGCGCAACCCUUUACGUCAUUAGUUGCUACGAAAGGGCAGCUCCAAUGAGACUGCCGGUGACAAACCGAGGAAGGUGGGGAUGACGUCAAGUCCUCAUGGCCCUUAUGGGCAGGGUCAGGAUUGUCAUACAAUGGUCGGGACAGAGGGUCGCCAACCCGCGAGGGGGAGCCAAUCCCAGAAACCCGAUCGUAGUCCGGAUCGCAGUCUGCAACUCGACCGCGAAGUCGGAAUCGCUAGUAAUCGCGGAUCAGCAUGUCGCGGUGAAUACGUUCCCGGGUCUUGCGGUACACACCGCCCGUCACACCAUGGGAGUGGGUUUUACCAGAAGUAGUUAGCCCAACUUGUAAGGAGGGCGAUUACCACGGUAGGAUUCAUGAUCAGUGAAGUCGUAACAAGGUAA
rnacentral:rRNA from 1 species